AACGAACGCUGGCGGCAGGCUUAACACAUGCAAGUCGAACGCAUCCUUCGGGGUGAGUGGCAGACGGGUGAGUAACGCGUGGGAACGUGCCCUUCAGUUCGGGAUAACCCAGGGAAACUUGGGCUAAUACCGGAUACGUGCGAGAGCAGAAAGAUUUAUCGCUGAAGGAUCGGCCCGCGUCUGAUUAGCUAGUUGGUGGGGUAAUGGCCCACAAAGGCGACGAUCAGUAGCUGGUCUGAGAGGAUGAUCAGCCACAUUGGGACUGAGACACGGCCCAAACUCCUACGGGGGGCAGCAGUGGGGAAUAUUGGACAAUGGGCGCAAGCCUGAUCCAGCCAUGCCGCGUGAGUGAUGAAGGCCUUAGGGUUGUAAAGCUCUUUCGUCCGGGACGAUAAUGACGGUACCGGAAGAAGAAGCCCCGGCUAACUUCGUGCCAGCCGCCGCGGUAA
rnacentral:rRNA from 1 species